rnacentral:rRNA from 1 species
GAUGAACGCUGGCGGCGUGCCUAAUACAUGCAAGUCGAGCGAACAGACGAGGAGCUUGCUCCUCUGACGUUAGCGGCGGACGGGUGAGUAACACGUGGAUAACCUACCUAUAAGACUGGGAUAACUUCGGGAAACCGGAGCUAAUACCGGAUAAUAUAUUGAACCGCAUGGUUCAAUAGUGAAAGACGGUUUUGCUGUCACUUAUAGAUGGAUCCGCGCCACAUUAGCUAGUUGGUAAGGUAACGGCUUACCAAGGCAACGAUGCGUAGCCGACCUGAGAGGGUGAUCGGCCACACUGGAACUGAGACACGGUCCAGACUCCUACGGGAGGCAGCAGUAGGGAAUCUUCCGCAAUGGGCGAAAGCCUGACAGAGCAACGCCGCGUGAGUGAUGAAGGUCUUCGGAUCGUAAAACUCUGUUAUUAGGGAAGAACAAAUGUGUAAGUAACUAUGCACGUCUUGACGGUACCUAAUCAGAAAGCCACGGCUAACUACGU